AUCAACGAUAGAUCAAUUGCGAUCCCGCAUGCUGUUUUCCUUUGGCCAAGCACAAUCAAAUACCUCUCUUAAACUCGCGAUUUACUUAAGCAUUGAAGAUUAGGCGAAAAAUUUAGCCAUCUAAAACUCGAUUCUUCUUAGGAAAGAAAAAUCUGUCAGAUCUAAAGAAGAAAAAAUUAAAUUGAUCAAACGUAACUGCUAGAAAUUUAAUCAUGACAACACACAAGAGGACGAGUUUCUACACAACCUUGUUAUUUGUACUUAUUACCUUCAACAUAUUGACGCAUGAGACAUUAGCAUGCCAUCUUCGGCCUAAUAUUGGGUGUGGGCUCAAGUAUGACAGAGGUAUUUGCGUCCGUAGACUUUAUUUUAGAUGGUGGUAUAAUAAGACGUCAAACCAAUGUGAAUCUUUUCUAUUUGGAGGUUGCAACAAAAAUUUCAAUAAUUUUGAGACUAAGGUAGAUUGCAUUAACGCAUGUGUAAACAAGAUGCCAUAAUUAUUGAUACUUUUCGCACAUUCAAUUUUAAAA